ACGAUUGUUUACCAAUUUCCACAGUAAACAAUAUCAAGUGUGAAGAAUUCUUUGGACUUGUCUGAAUUGAAGCAACAAACAAAAGUGACAUCCGAUUUGGAAUUGUGUGGUGAUCAUCGGUUGGUAAGCAUGUUAUUUUAUUAAUAAUUUUUUUUCUCUGCAAACAUGUUUCUUGAGGACAAAUAACAUUUUAAAUUUGUGGUUGUGAUGAAAGUCACUUACUAUGUAUUUUUAUCUGUUGCUUUUAGUGUUUU
rnacentral:lncRNA from 1 species